ensembl:lncRNA
AGUCACUGUUGAAUGUUUUUAUGUUGAAUGUUUUAUAUUUUGGAAUGAUAUUUUAAAUUGUAAUUCGCUCGGAGCACUCUGGCGGAGAGCGACUAAUUAAGAAAUAAAGUGAAGUGAAGUGAAGUGCAUUCUCUGAGGAAUCUCCUUUGGGGUGACACCUUCUGCUGUCAAGAAUAUAGUUACUUAAUUCACAUUGACUGACCGUCUGCGCAGGGUUCCAUACUUUGCACUUUAACAACACAACCAUUCAAUGCUAAGGCUUCCUGCUAAAUGGAACUGUAGAGGAGAGUCUACUGAACAAGCCAGUACCUGCCACAUACCAGUCUUGCCAUCUGUUGAGGAGUUACGAAGGUGGAGGCAUUACUUUUCAUUCAACCCUCGUAUAUAAUGGGACAUAAGCAUCCAUUGAUUGUAUCAUCCAUGGACAUCCUAGUUCUCAACCUGUGGGUCCCCAGAUGUUUUGAUUUACAACUCCCAGAAAUCCCAGCCAGUUUACUAGCUGAUAGGAUUUCUGGGAAUUGAAGGCCAAAACAUCUGGGGACCCACAGGUUGAGAACCACUGUCCUAGAACCAAAUUUCAGCAGAUCCGGAGGGCCCAAUGUAUAUGGUGAUGAUCUCCUUUGGAUUGCUGUAGCCGUAGUUGUGGUAUUAUUCUUAUUUUCUUACCCAAAUCUUCUCAACUCCAUGUGGUUCUUUGAUCUUAAUCUUUCUUGCACAAAUAUAAGCAAAUGUUAUUUUAUCAGUAAUGGAAAGUUUUGUCUCUGUCUACCAUCACUUUGCAAAACACACACACAAAGUGAGGCAAUAAAAAACAAUAAAGAAAGGAUUAAAAUAGAAAAGAAGCAUUUAAAAAUAAAUCAUAAAAAUUUACAAUUUACAGCCUAAGGAUGGGAGGAAGGAGAAGCCGAAGGGAGCGAAAAGGAGCCCAAGUGGCAACAGGAGGAGAAGGAGGCGAUUUAUCAACACAUGAUUGGUUGAUAAAGACUUAUAAUAGUGUAUACUGGCGGAACGUUGGAUAAUCGAAAACUUUGGAUAAUAAGAAGGGAUUAAGGAAAGGUCUAUUAUAAACAUCAAAUUAUGUUAUGAUUUUACAAAUUAAGCACCAAAACAUCAUGUUUUACAAAAAAUGGACAGAAAAAGCAAUUCAUUACACAGUAAUUAAAGGUAAAGGUUUUCCCCUGAUAUUAAGUCCAGCCGUGACCGACUCUGGGGGUUAGUACUCAUCUCCAUUUCUAAGCCAAAGAGCCGGCGUUCUCCGUAGACACCUCCAAGGUCAUGUGGUCCAAGGUCAUUUUAGUAGUCAAUGUUUUUGUAGUCAAUUUUUCAAUAUAUUGUGAAGUUUUGGUGGUAAAUUCGUAAAUACAAUAAUUACUACAUAGUAAUUACUAUGUACAGGGCCCCUGGUGGCACAGUGCGUUAAAGCGCUGAGCUUUUGAACUUGCAGACCAAAUGUUCCCAGGUUCAAAUCCCGGUAGCGGAGUGAGCAGCCGCUGUUAGCUCCAGCUUCUGCCAACCUAGCAGUUUAAAAAAAUGCAAAUGUGAGUAGAUCAAUAGGUACCGCUCCAGCGGGAAGGUAACAGCACUCCAUGCAGUCAUGCCGGCCACAUGAACUUGGAGGUGUCCACAGACAACACCGGCUCUUCGGCUUAGAAAUGGAGAUGAGCACCAACCCCCAGAGUCAGACAUGACUGGACUUAACGUCAGGGGAAACCUUUACCUUUACAUAUAUAUAUAUAUAUAUAUAUAUAUAUAUAUAUAUAUAUAUAUAUAUAUAUAGUAAUAUUACUAAUAAUAUUACAGUAUACUGGUAUAGUACAAUGUAAUAAUAUGUAAUGCUAAUAUUGUGCUAUGCUAACAAUAUAAUACAUUGUAUUUAAAUAUUAUUUGUAAGCCGCCCUGAGUCCCCUUCGGG